GAGGGUAUAGCUCAGUGGUAGAGUGCGUGCAUAGCAUGCACGAGGUCCUGGGCUCAAUCCCCAGUACUUGCA
rnacentral:tRNA from 1 species